AGCGAACGCUGGCGGCAGGCUUAACACAUGCGAGUCGAACGCAUCCUUCGGGGUGAGUGGCAGACGGGUGAGUAACACGUGGGAACGUACCCUUCGAUCUGGGAUAACUUCGGGAAACUGGAGCUAAUACCGGAUACGCCCUUUUGGGGAAAGGUUUACUGUCGAAGGAUCGGCCCGCGUCUGAUUAGCUAGUUGGUGGGGUAACGGCCUACCAAGGCGACGAUCAGUAGCUGGUCUGAGAGGAUGAUCAGCCACACUGGGACUGAGACACGGCCCAGACUCCUACGGGAGGCAGCAGUGGGGAAUAUUGGACAAUGGGCGCAAGCCUGAUCCAGCCAUGCCGCGUGAGUGAUGAAGGCCUUAGGGUUGUAAAGCUCUUUUGUCCGGGACGAUAAUGACGGUACCGGAAGAAUAAGCCCCGGCUAACUUCGUG
rnacentral:rRNA from 1 species